AUGAUAGUGAGAUACUUAAUACAUACACCAAAUUUUGGCAUUUGGUAUCCUAAGAGGUCCUCUUUUGAUCUUGUUGGCUAUUCCGAUUCAGACUAUGCCGGAGACAAGGUUGAUAGAAAGUCCAUUUUGGGUACUUGUCAAUUUCUUGGUAGAUCUCUUGUGUCUUGGUCCUCCAAGAAACAAAACUCGGUAUCCUUAUCCACCGCCGAAGCGGAAUACAUUGCCGCCGGUUCAUGUUGUGCUCAAUUACUUUGGAUGACCCAAACUCUUAAAGAUUAUGGGAUCAAUGUGAAACAUGUUCCAUUGCUUUGUGACAAUGAGAGUGCUAUUAAGAUUGCUCACAAUCCUGUGCAACAUUCUCAAACUAAGCAUAUUGAAGUUCGUCAUCAUUUCAUUCGAGAUCAUGUUGCAAAAGGGGGCAUUGAUCUUAAGCAUGUUCGUACCGAUAAGCAAUUGGCGGAUAUAUUCACCAAACCGCUUGAUGAGAAAGUCUUUUGC
rnacentral:rRNA from 1 species